rnacentral:rRNA from 1 species
CACUGUCACUCCUACGGGGAGGCAGCAGUGGGGAAUAUUGCACAAUGGGCGCAAGCCUGAUGCAGCCAUGCCGCGUGUGUGAAGAAGGCCUUCGGGUUGUAAAGCACUUUCAGUCGUGAGGAAGGCGGGUACGUUAAUAGCGUAUUCGUUUGACGUUAGCGACAGAAGAAAGCACCGGCUAACUCCGUGCCAGCAGCCGCGGUAAUACGGAGGGUGCGAGCGUUAAUCGGAAUUACUGGGCGUAAAGCGCAUGCAGGUGGUUUGUUAAGUCAGAUGUGAAAGCCCGGGGCUCAACCUCGGAAUAGCAUUUGAAACUGGCAGACUAGAGUACUGUAGAGGGGGGUAGGAAUUUCAGGUGUAGCGGUGAAAUGCGUAGAGAUCUGAAGGAAUACCGGUGGCGAAGGCGGCCCCCUGGACAGAUACUGACACUCAGAUGCGAAAGCGUGGGGAGCAAACAGGAUUAGAUACCCUGGUAG